rnacentral:rRNA from 1 species
GUUGGUAGGGAAUCAACUUGAUAGUAUGCGGGUUUACUCGUGUCCUUUCUGGUGCACUUCCUUACUUGCAGGUUAGCAUCAAUUUUGGUUAUCAUAUAAAAAUUGAGGGAAGGUGGCUUUUCUUCGGAAAAGUGUUAUAGACCUCGAUAAAUGUGGUGAUUGGGAUUGAGGAUUGCAGCGGAUACCCUUUGGGCUAGUCACCUGGCUUCUGAUGGUUGCCCCGUCUUCGAUAGCUUGCUAACGUUGGUGGGAUUCGAUUAUCUAGAUGUUGGAGUG